rnacentral:rRNA from 1 species
AAUAGAUACCCCGGUAGUCCACGCCGUAAACGAUGAGUGCUAAGUGUUAGGGGGUUUCCGCCCCUUAGUGCUGCAGCUAACGCAUUAAGCACUCCGCCUGGGGAGUACGGUCGCAAGACUGAAACUCAAAGGAAUUGACGGGGGCCCGCACAAGCGGUGGAGCAUGUGGUUUAAUUCGAAGCAACGCGAAGAACCUUACCAGGUCUUGACAUCCCGUUGACCACUGUAGAGAUAUAGUUUCCCCUUCGGGGGCAACGGUGACAGGUGGUGCAUGGUUGUCGUCAGCUCGUGUCGUGAGAUGUUGGGUUAAGUCCCGCAACGAGCGCAACCCUUGAUCUUAGUUGCCAUCAUUUAGUUGGGCACUCUAAGGUGACUGCCGGUGACAAACCGGAGGAAGGUGGGGAUGACGUCGAAAUCAUCAUGCCCCUUAUGACCUGGGCUACACACGUGCUACAAUGGACGAUACAAACGGUUGCCAACUCGCGAGAGGGAGCUAAUCCGAUAAAGUCGUUCUCAGUUCGGAUUGUAGGCUGCAACUCGCCUAC